UAUUCUAAACUCGAUAUUACAAGUAAUAUAAUUUAUGUUACGUUAUAGGUCAAGAAAAUAUGCACGUAAGAGCAGCUAUGCCAAAUGAUGCCGUCCAUUUUGAAAUUUCUCAUACUGAACGCGGGAGACGUAUAUCUGAUGUUUUAUUUAAUCUUGGAUUAAAGGAAUCGCGAAUUUUAAAAUCAAGAAUGACAUGGAGACCACAGAUAUGGCAAAAUGUCAAGGAUGCGCUCUCUAAUAAGUACAAUGAAGUUUCUGAUGUUGUCAUUGUAAAAAAA